rnacentral:tRNA from 1 species
GACCUCGUAGUUCAGCUGGUAAAGCGUGCACCGUACAAAAGCAUAGGCUGCUUCCGUGCGUGGGUUCGAAUCCCACCGAGAUUA